rnacentral:lncRNA from 1 species
GUAGUAGGAUUACAGACAUGUGCCACCAUGCCCAGCUAAUUUUGUAUUUUUAGCAGAGACGGGGUUUCUCCAUGUUGGUCAGGCUACUCUCCUGACCUCAGGUGUUCCGCCCGCCUCGGCCUCCCAAAGUGCUGGGAUUAUAGGCGUGAGCCACCAUGGCUGGCAAAUUUUUUUUUUUUUUUUAAUGGCCAUCCUAAUGAGGCAAAAGAGAAGGGAUUAGCUAUCCUUCUGCAUGUCAAAACCCAUCUCUGGGACAAUUUUUGGCAUUAGUGUUAAGGUUUCUUUCUCCCUAAGAGUAAUAAUUACCUGUAUUUUAGUUUUUAGCUCUCUUUGCAUUCGAAAGUGAGGAAAGGGCCUUGAAUUUCAGGCAGAGACAAUUUCUUAUCUAUUCUGUUCCCACCCCUCAGUUACUUAAGUAUGGAUCCCUUGUCCACAUUUAUAAAGGAGAAUCAAAUAGAUAACUUUUUUUUUCUUUUUUUGCAGACAGAGUCUCACUCUGUCGCCCAGGCUGGAGUGCAGUGGCUCGAUCUCAGCUCACUGCAAGCUCUGCCUCCUGGGUUCACACCAUUCUCCUAUCUCAGCCUCCCAAGUAGCUGGGACUACAGGUGCCCACCACCACGCCUAGCUAAUUUUUUGUAUUUUUAGUAGAGACGGGGUUUCACCAUGUUAGCCAGGAUGGUCUCGAUCUCCUGACCUCGUGACUCGCCCGCCUUGGCCUCCCAAAGUGCUGGGAUUACAGGCAUGAGCCACCGCGCCCAGCCUAGAUAACAUUAAUGAACCCUGGAGCCAGCUAUUGAUUUGAACUUAUGUUUCUUAACAGCAAGCAGUAGCUGCAAAGAAACAUAGGGUCCUUCUCUUCUUUUUCUUAUCACCCAUAAUGAUUGACUGAUAGAGUUUGGUUGAAACUUUUUUCCAAAGAAUUGUUUGGCUUGUUAUAGUUCAAAACACUCACAAGAAAGGGUAACAGUGGCCCCUUCUGGGAUGGGGAGCUGCGUGGCUGGAGGGAUAAGAGUGAGAAGGAAGCCUUCUUUGCUUAUAUUUCUGAAUUGUGUGCUUGUUUUAUCUACUGAGAAAAGUAUUUAAAGCAAAAAAAAAAAAAAAAAAAACAGAAAAAUCUUUGCAAAUGCUUUUGAAGGUGCCAGUGUAUAUGACUGUUACUUCAGCUGCAAAUGGAGAAAAUCUUAGAGAAAUGAUCUCCAUGAACAAAUGCAUGGAGGGCACACUUUGUUCUGGAGAAAGGGAGAUUAUGGAAUUUCCAAGGUUAUUAGGAAUGUCAGAAAUACGCAUAUGAAGAGCAUUAUAAUCUUUACACUGAAAGUUGUAGAAUGUUCUGAGUUAAUGUGAACAUACAUUCCUGGCCAGGCAUGGUGGUGCACACCUGUAAUCCCAGCACUUUGGGAGGCCAAAGCCAGCAGAUCACUUGAGCUCAGGAGUUCAGGACCAGCUUGGGCAACAUGGCAACACCCCAUCUCUACAAAAAAAAACACACACACACACACAAAAUAUAGCCAGGCGUCUAGGUAGUGUGCACCUGUAGUCCCAGCUGGUGGGGCUGAGGUGGGAAGAUCACUUGUGCCCAGGAAGUCAAGGCUGCAGUGAGCUAUGAUUACACCACUACACUCCAGCCUGGAUGAAAAGUGGAACCCUGGCCAGGCGUUAACGUGAGUUAACAUGAACAUACAUUCCUGGCGUGAGGCACCAUGCCCAGUGUGUACUAACUGUUUUAAAUUAAGCAAGUGAUAAAGAAUUUGCUGGUUUUAAGCCACCACAAAAGAUGGUUUAAAACAAUUUAGCAAUAAAAUUUGGACAAAAAAUAAUUGAUUUGGUCUUAAUUUAUAUCAGAAGUGACUUCUAAGUCUGUAGUUGGCUUCACAAUAUGCAGAUUAUUAGCAUAGCAGAGAGAGCAGGGGACACCAUAGUCAUUGCUUCAUAGUGAGCAGCAAUUCUAUCUUGAGUAUGAUAAGGCCUAGAAGGUUUUUUUGAAAUACUUUU